rnacentral:rRNA from 1 species
AGGACGAACGCUGGCGGCGUGCUUAACACAUGCAAGUCGAGCGGAAAGGCCCUUCGGGGUACUCGAGCGGCGAACGGGUGAGUAACACGUGAGCAACCUGCCCUUAGCUCCGGGAUAGCUCCGGGAAACCGGAAUUAAUACCGGAUACGACCACGGCCGACAUCUGCUGUGGUGGAAAGGAUUCCGGCUAAGGAUGGGCUCGCGGCCUAUCAGCUAGUUGGCGGAGUAACGGCCCACCAAGGCGGCGACGGGUA